CCCAGUGAUAAUGACAGUGAUAAUGACAUGAAGCAUAUUAUGAUCCUUUUAACAGCCCGCUUUGGCAGGCCUCCCCAGUUUGGGGAACCAAUUCCUCCAAAUGGAACAAGAGGGUGAGUGAGUUUCCUGUUGAUGUGCAGUCACUCCACAAUUCAGUGGCUGAAACAACAGCUAUUUUAUUGCUCACUACUCUGAGGGUCAAUGAUUUCAGCAAGGACAGUAGGGGAAGGGUGAUGGCUCAUCUCUGCUCCACAUGGUGCCAGCUGGGCAUCUCCACUGGUGAUGGAGGAGCCAAGAUGCCCCCACUCACCCAGCUGGGGCUUUGAUAAUGGCUGUCAACUGGAGCAACUGGGUUCUCCUCUGUAUGAUUUCUCUCCUUCAGGGCUUCUUUCUCCCCACGGCCUCCCACUCUGCCAGGAUACUGGUCUUCUUCACAUGGCAAGAGGACAAAAAAGGAAUCUGCCGUGCCUUCAGGCCUGGACUCAGAAGUCCCACAGCCUCCCUUCUGCCACAUUCUUUUGGGCCCAGUGCAAGCCGCGGAGCUGAAACAGCAUCUCUAAUCUUAUUUCCUAUGAACCUCUCACUAACUUCUCCUUUUACGAUCUUUUCACGGCUGUUACAUUGAAUCAGUAUCAUUAUGUGUUUAAAAAAAUAUUAUGCUCUGUGUCUCAGAGCUAACUCUCCAGAACCGAUUAUUCUAGCCCCUUUUCUUAGGAGAUGACAGGCUGUUAGAAAUCUGGAAAGGGUGGGGGUUUGUUUGUUUGUUUCUGGGGUCCUCUUGGCAGGAGCUGAGAAAUGAGGUGAAAGCCGCGGUUCUCAGACUUUUGCUGUAGGUUUACGGUAUGACCAUGAGCAUUCCCAAUGGCAGAUUGCAAAAAUGGCCCUGGAUUCCUCCCUUCCCUGAACGCACACUUCUUUGCAGUGUGACUUGGUCACUCUUCUCCUCUAGAGGUGGAGCCUGUACUUCACACCUUGAAUCUAGCCUUAGACAAUAUGUUUUGUCCCGUGGGAUGUUAGCAGAGGUUUGAAGGACAUUUCUGCUUUGGGGUUUCCUCUCUCUUGCUGCACCUGGAAACUUAAGACCCUUAUGUCACCCAG
rnacentral:lncRNA from 1 species